rnacentral:rRNA from 1 species
AGUUGCCAACGGUAAGCCGGGCACUCUGGAUGGACUGCCGGCGACAAGCCGGAGGAAGGUGGGGAUGACGUCAAGUCAUCAUGGCCCUUAUGUCCAGGGCGACACACGUGCUACAAUGGCCGGCACAGCGGGAAGCGAGGGGGCGACCUUGAGCGGAUCCCUCAAAGCCGGUCUCAGUUCGGAUUGCAGUCUGCAACUCGACUGCAUGAAGUUGGAAUCGCUAGUAAUCGUGGAUCAGCCAAGCCGCGGUGAAUACGUUCCCGGGCCUU